GCAGUGCGGUCCUCAUGGAAGCCUCCUUGACUGAACUGUGAAACCGAGUGCAGAUCAUCAUUGUGUACCACUUGCAGCAAAGAAUAGCACUUACUCUACCGCGAUUUUUCUUUUAAACUACUCAAACCUAGGAAUCUGCUACUAUGUGAAUGUUCUCACUUUGAUACUGCCAAAAGCUUAACUCCUCCUGGCCUAUGGUAUGAUUUACAUUCUAAGGUCAAAUGUAGAGAACAUUACUCUAAAAGUACAAAAUAAAUACCAAAUGUGCUUGGGACGAGUGUGAGUGGGGAUUAAUGGAAGAGGAAUGUUUACGGAAGCUUUUAAUAACCGCAUUUAGCAUGCUUCUGUGUCUAGAUCAAACCAGAGUUUACUUCAAGAAGACAACGAUGUCAGUUGUCUUGAUUCAAAACACCACAUCAGAUAUGAAAUGAUUUUCCUCCAACAGUGCAUUAACAGCUACUUAAAGAAACAAAUGUCUCUUUAUUUUCUGAGCCGUCCAAUGUAGGCUCCUCAGCACCAUCUAAUCAUUGAAAAGGAAAUGCUAAAUUUAUAAUAAAACAUGGUAAAUCUCUUCUGCUUUCUCUUUUUUCAACUCUUUAAAAUUAAGCCAUCUAUAAUGUAUCUAUAAUGUAUUUUGUUUGUCUGGGUUAGUCUGUUUUCUGUUGUUUCUUUUUGUUUUCUUGGUGCUAGAGAAUGAACCCAGGGCUUUGAACAUGUACAUAUUCCUCUAGACUCUGUCCUCAGUCUUACUGCAGUUUAAUAUAUUCCGAGUGUUUUAUUAUUCUUCUCUGUGAGAGAAUAAAUACUGUCUUAUUAAUUC
rnacentral:lncRNA from 1 species